rnacentral:tRNA from 1 species
GGUCUUAUAUUUUAUAAAAAUUAUUAAAUUGCAAAUUUAAAGAUGAUUGAAAGUCUA